CGCCCACCGCGCCCCGCGCCCGUCCCGCCGCCCCCGCCCGCCUAACGGGAGGCAGCAGUGGGGAAUAUUGGACAAUGGGCGAAAGCCUGAUCCAGCCAUGCCGCGUGUGUGAAGAAGGUCUUCGGAUUGUAAAGCACUUUAAGUUGGGAGGAAGGGCAGUAAGUUAAUACCUUGCUGUUUUGACGUUACCGACAGAAUAAGCACCGGCUAACUCUGUGCCAGCAGCCGCGGUAAUANCAGAGGGUGCAAGCGUUAAUCGGAAUUACUGGGCGUAAAGCGCGCGUAGGUGGUUCGUUAAGUUGGAUGUGAAAGCCCCGGGCUCAACCUGGGAACUGCAUCCAAAACUGGCGAGCUAGAGUAUGGUAGAGGGUGGUGGAAUUUCCUGUGUAGCGGUGAAAUGCGUAGAUAUAGGAAGGAACACCAGUGGCGAAGGCGACCACCUGGACUGAUACUGACACUGAGGUGCGAAAGCGUGGGGAGCAAACAGGAUUAGAUACCCCUGGUAGUCCACGCCGUAAACGAUGUCAACUAGCCGUUGGAAUUCCUUGAGAUUUUAGUGGCGCAGCUAACAGCAUUAAGUUGACCGCCCUGGGGAGUACAGGCCGGCACGGU
rnacentral:rRNA from 1 species